GACGAACGCUGGCGGCGUGCUUAACACAUGCAAGUCGAACGGAAAGGCCCUGCUUUUGUGGGGUGCUCGAGUGGCGAACAGGUGAGUAACACGUGAGUAACCUGCCCUUGACUUUGGGAUAACUUCAGGAAACUGGGGCUAAUACCGGAUAGGAGCUCCUGCUGCAUGGUGGGGGUUGGAAAGUUUCGGCGGUUGGGGAUGGACUCGCGGCUUAUCAGCUUGUUGGUGGGGUAGUGGCUUACCAAGGCUUUGACGGGUAGCCGGCCUGAGAGGGUGACCGGCCACAUUGGGACUGAGAUACGGCCCAGACUCCUACGGGAGGCAGCAGUGGGGAAUAUUGCACAAUGGGCGGAAGCCUGAUGCAGCAACGCCGCGUGCGGGAUGACGGCCUUCGGGUUGUAAACCGCUUUCGCCUGUGACGAAGCGUGAGUGACGGUAAUGGGUAAAGAAGCACCGGCUAACUACGUGCCAGCAGCCGCGGUGAUACGUAGGGUGCGAGCGUUGUCCGGAUUUAUUGGGCGUAAAGGGCUCGUAGGUGGUUGAUCGCGUCGGAAGUGUAGUCUUGGGGCUUAACCCUGAGCGUGCUUUCGAUACGGGUUGACUUGAGGAAGGUAGGGGAGAAUGGAAUUCCUGGUGGAGCGGUGGAAUGCGCAGAUAUCAGGAGGAACACCAGUGGCGAAGGCGGUUCUCUGGGCCUUUCCUGACGCUGAGGAGCGAAAGCGUGGGGAGCGAACAGGCUUAGAUACCCUGGUAGUCCACGCUGUAAACGGUGGGUACUAGGUGUGGGGUCCAUUCCACGGGUUCCGUGCCGUAGCUAACGCUUUAAGUACCCCGCCUGGGGAGUACGGCCGCAAGGCUAAAACUCAAAGGAAUUGACGGGGCCCCGCACAAGCGGCGGAGCAUGCGGAUUAAUUCGAUGCAACGCGUAGAACCUUACCUGGGUUUGACAUGGAUCGGGAGUGCUCAGAGAUGGGUGUGCCUCUUUUGGGGUCGGUUCACAGGUGGUGCAUGGCUGUCGUCAGCUCGUGUCGUGAGAUGUUGGGUUAAGUCCCGCAACGAGCGCAACCCUUGUUCACUGUUGCCAGCACGUUAUGGUGGGGACUCAGUGGAGACCGCCGGGGUCAACUCGGAGGAAGGUGGGGAUGACGUCAAGUCAUCAUGCCCCUUAUGUCCAGGGCUUCACGCAUGCUACAAUGGCUGGUACAGAGAGUGGCGAGCCUGUGAGGGUGAGCGAAUCUCGGAAAGCCGGUCUCAGUUCGGAUUGGGGUCUGCAACUCGACCUCAUGAAGUCGGAGUCGCUAGUAAUCGCAGAUCAGCAACGCUGCGGUGAAUACGUUCCCGGGGCU
rnacentral:rRNA from 1 species